CUCACUUACUCCCUGCUGGGGCAAGCCCAGCAGCUGCUGGGGGACAAGCAGGAGGAGGUCACCUAUAAGGUGACGCAACAACUGCACAUCAUCCACAACUUGCACCAAGUGCCUGAGGCGGUGCAGGAGCUCUGCCUUCGAGGCCACCAGCUACUCCCACUCCCUGUAAACGGGGAGUGUAGUGAGACUGAGUGGUCUCCCUCCGACUGGGAGAGCGAGAGACCCCCUACACGCCUCUUGGAGGCUGGGGCCUAUAUUGCCCCGCCCCCCUCGCCCUAAGAACUGGAGCGUGGCCGGAAGUAUAAAAGGCCGGCCGUGCUGCACAGUUGGGGGAGAGCCUGCAAGAGAGGAGGACGCUCGGCCUGUUCUCCAGAGGCCCAGAGAGGAUCCCGCUCCUGGCUGUUCCCGAUCCCCAGGCGUGGACGAGGACUGGCCCGGAGUCCCCGCUGCGGUUUACCCCAAGGAGCCGGAAGAGGCCUGGAGGCCGCAGGUACCAAACCCUGGGGAGGCAGGAAGUAGCCCAGGGGCAGCCCUGGAGCAGCCGGCUGCAGAGCCCAGCACAGCUCAGUCGGCAUGUUGCGGCCGGAUCCCCGCCGACGCAGGGGCAGCCAAGGGCCCGCUUCCCCCUGCCACCCCAUCCCAGGUGGCUGACCCCCUACGUGGUGCAAGGAGGCUCUAGCCCAGGACAGGAGCUCCCUUAUCACUGACCUGGAGCGUGUUUUUUGGCUGGCCACCGGGGCCCCACCCAGGCUAGAGCCAGCCCUGUCAAGACUGUUUGCUCGCUGGCUGCCUGGUUCCACCCAGGCCGGAGCCACUCUGGCAGACUGUGCUGGGGGGCUGACCACUUGAGCGACCCCAGCCCAGCAGGGCCGGCUCUACCAUUUUUACCACCACAAGGAAAAACAAAAAGGCGGCUCGGACUGCUGCUGCCCAAACUGCUGAAGCUGCCCGGACUCUGCUGCCCCAGGAAUGGCCGGAUUGCCGCCCCUUAGCAUGUGCCGCCCCAGGCACGUGCUGGCUCCGCUGGUGCCUGGAGCCGGCCCUGCAGCCCAGGCCGCAGCCUGGUAACGACAGUUGAUGACUGUGGUGGGGUGACUGCCCCAUGCCCAUGCAAGAGGGCGCUUGAGUAGGCCAGAGCGGCUGUGCAGGCCGGCAGCCAAUCAGAGAAGGGCCUACUGAAAGCUAAUCAGGGCCGAGAUUAGAGCCAGCCAAUCAGGGCUAGGAUAGGCCCUAUAUAAAGGCUGCCCAGGAGCACAGUAGGCAGUCUGUCCCAGAUCUUCAUGCGGGAAGGUUUGUCUCCAGAGCAGGAGUCCUUGGACAGAGCAGUGCUGGGCAGACUCAUGGGGAGCAUAGUAGGGCUCCGGCCCAAGACCUGCCAGACUGCGGGCCCUGAUAGAAAGGGCCUAGAGAGUGCGAGGGGCCGGAGGGGAAGUGGCCCAGGGACAGUUGGACAAAGGGAGAGCAGGGGGCUGCCACUAGAUGGUCCCUGGGUUGGGACCCAGAGUACUGGGCAGGCGUGGGUCCCCCCUUCCCUCUUGUACUGCACCUGGCCAUGUGGUGGCCUAGACAACUUCCAACGAGCCCUUGAGACAAUGGGUUAGACUUUGGGGGCUGUGGUUGGCCACUGAGGCAGGUGCAAGGACUGUUGGUAAUCCCUCCGGAAGGGGGUGAGCAUGGACUAAGGGGCACUGCCAGAGAACAGUGGCCUGAAGAAGGACACCGUCAAGUGGGGAGCAACACGGGUCCAGACGCCAAGGGAGGUCAAGAGACGGACAGGACACCGCCAGCAGAGCGCGCUUCCCAUAGACUGAGCUAAUUACCAGAGCGCCCAGCGGGAGGCGCUGUGGUGAUGAGCUCCAACCCCGUCACAUGUGGUGGAGAAUGCAGGCACGGGCGGACCGCCCUGAUACUAGGGGCAAGAGCGAGGACUAAACAGAUUGUGCCACAUUGAGAGACUGAGACAAAAUGGUGGAGAAAAGAGACUUCUAUUGGAGGGCCUGGGUGGCUCAGCUCACCGAGCAGCAGAGGGAGUUGUUCUGGCUGCUGCUGGGGUCGGCACCCAGGCCAAACGAGUUCCAGCCCCAUGGGCGAGAGGCCAGGGCUGGGAACUCUGAACUGCUUCGCCUGUAGGUGACGGGGACGCUACAGGAGGGAGUGUCCCUACUGGGAGGGGGCAGAGAGGCCCCACCCAGAAAAGGCACCCUCUGCUUGUUGGGUCUGAGGGGAGCCAGGGCACCUGAAGAGAGAGUGCCCCUACAGGACUGCCAAGGCCCGGGCCAGCCCAGAAGGAAGGACCAGGGCCCAAACAAGCAGGAGUAGGGACGUGGCAGGUGGAAGACCCAGAAAGUGCUUCCACUGCCACAAAGGGGGACAUAUAAGGAGGCACUGCCCCCUGAAGCAGAAAGGGGGAGUGUCUGAGAGAAGGGCUCGGUCUGAGACCCCACCCAGGGAAGGGGUGGUGAAGACCGAGGCCCCUAGAGAGAAAGGGUCUGGGCAGAGAGGCCCCACCAAAAUGAGGGAACCCACAUAGGAGCCAGGAGGGCCAAUGUGGGAACCCAAACAGAAGGAGGAACCCCGUAGGACCAGGGCGGUCCACAAUGGGAACCCAGACCCUAGAGGUGCGGAGCAGGUUGCUCCAGACUGUGGAGGGUCUGCGAGAGGAAAGGGAUGCCCUGUGGGCCCAGCUGUGAGGGAAGCUGGGGCGAUAGGGACCCCCUUCCUUCCCCCCGUGAGCAUUCUUAAGGGGGAGGGGGUGGUGGGGUGGCUGCCCCACCCCCAUGUGAGAGGGGGUUAGAGUAGGCCAGAACGGCUGCAUAGGCCGGCAGCCAAUCAAGGAAGGGCCUACUGAGAGCCAAUCAGGGCCGAGAUUAGAGCCAGCCAAUCAGGGCUAGGCUAGGUACUAUAUAAUGGCUGCCCAGGAGCACAGCAGUCAGUCUGUCCCAGAACUUCAUGGAGGAAGGUUUGUCUCCAGAGCAGGAGACCGGCACCUCAGACUGAGCAGUACUGCACCUGGGCAUGUGGUGGCUGAGACAAAUUGCAACCAGCUCUUGAGACAAGGGGCUAGACUUUGGGGGUUGUGGUUGGCCACUGAGGCAGGUGCAAGGACUGUUGCUAACCUCCCCCGCCGCCGCCCUUCACCCUCAAAAGGGGAUGAGGAUGAAGGACACUGUCAAGCAGGGAGCAACACGGGUCCAGCCACCAACGGAGGACAAGAGAUGGACAGGACACUGCCAGCAGAGGGCGCUCCCCAUGGACUGAGCUAAUUCCCGGAGCGACCAGCGGGAGGUGCUGUGGUGGCCCUGGGAUAUGGCACAGCUUCCCAGAUGGGCGCAUCCUGUACCGGAGCCAUGUCAGGGGGCAGUGGGGACAGGUCACCUCGUCCCAGCAAAGCAAGCAAUGCUGGCUCUCAAAGAGGCUUAGAUGGAAGACCCCAUUCCCUCAUGGAGGAAGGGGCUCCCCAGAGACGUCCUCGAACCUGGACUCCUGAGAGCAUUUCUGGCAGGAGACUCCAGCCCCUCGAGCAUGAAGAGAGCAUCCGGUAGUCUCGGUCGCCAGUUCCACUUCCCACAGCAGGGAAAACGAACCCAUCAGCUCCCAGAAUCCCAACUCUUUGACUUCCUUCCGCUCAGCAGUGAGGUUUCUCCAGCCCCCUCACCACACCUGUCAGCCUCUGAAUGUCAGAGUCACCAGAACGAGCAAACUCCAGUUCCAGGCAGUGGGGCCUGUGUGUAUUCAGCCCCUCUGGAAACCAGGUCUGAAAUGAGGAGCAAGGACCCCAGGCCAAUAACAGUAGGAGUGGGCAGAGCAGGCCUGUAAGAGGGUGCUUUCCCCUGGGCUGCACAGCCUGGGACCUAGCCAAGUUGAGGAUAGAACGAGCCCUAACUGAGAGGCAAAAGAGAGGCCAGGCCCUCCCCCUCGAGCGUCGCUUAUUAUAAAUUUUCAAAAAUGAAUACAGUGGAGUCACAUCUUACGCAGGGGCAAAAAGCUGCCAGAGUGCCCUAGCGACUCUCAGCGGGGGCGCUAGCCCAGCAAGAAAGCUGUGAGACCAGCCUUGCCAGGAAGGGGCGCCUCUCGGGCUCGCCAUCCGUCUUGGAGCUGAACCCCAGAUGGGAGCUGAUAGAUUGUCCUUGGUGAGCCAUGUUCUUGUGUGGGAUGGAGCUGAGGGCCAGAGAGGGCCAGGAGCAGAUGCAUCACGCCUGGCCAGGACCGGGCUAAACAGCCUGUAACACUAGGUGAGUCAAACUAUGGCCACAAUACAGGCACCCUGGAUAUCCAUGGGGACUUAAUUUGGGCCCUUCACUACCAAGAGCACAACUCAUUCCAACUUGAGUCAUGAUGGUGGUUACCCCUGCCAACCCUUCUGAGGUGGGUCAGUUUUAUCCCUGUUAGCUGGGGCAUCGCGAUAGAAAGCAACUGGCUGUGAGGUGACACACAAUGUCACUGACAGAGGCAGGAAGGAAGCGUGGUACUGAUCCCAGUCCAGCUCCAACCACUAGACUCCACCCACUUCCAAAGUCAGAGAACCCAGGAGCCCUGACUCUGACAGCUCGGCCUUAAAUGACAUGACCAACCUCCCUCCCACUCAGGAAGCCAUAGAAGGGACCAUCUGCUGAGCUCCCCUUUGCAAUGCCGCUGUCAGAGACCAUUGCUGGUGGGUGCCAAGUGACUGAGCAGGGAACUCCUUGAGAGCCUCCUAGAGACUCACAGGUGUUUGACUGUGACCCUCAGGGAGCCGUGGGAAGAGACUCUCCUGCUCUAACAAAGGGUUUCUGUUCUCC